rnacentral:rRNA from 1 species
UACAGAGGGGGCAAGCGUUGUUCGGAAUUACUGGGCGUAAAGGGCGCGUAGGCGGCCCGCUAAGUCGAACGUGAAAUCCCCGAGCUCAACUCGGGAACUGCGUCCGAUACUGGUGGGCUUGAAUCCGGGAGAGGGAUGCGGAAUUCCAGGUGUAGCGGUGAAAUGCGUAGAUAUCUGGAGGAACACCGGUGGCGAAGGCGGCUCACUGGCCCGGUACUGACGCUGAGGUGCGAAAGCGUGGGGAGCAAACAGG